CGUUAUUGCGUCUCGGGAUAAAUAAAGCUUUAUUAUUGUGAAUGUGAUUAUAUAUCGGUGAUUAUAUGCCGAUUCUUUCGCACACCGAUGAGACGAGAGUAGGUAGAUCCGUAAAAAUGCAAAAGAAUAUGGGCCCCGUGCGAAUGCAAUAGUGAUAGUGCAUAACGGAUGUGCAUCAUCGACUUUCUGGAGCACCAGAACUCAAAAUGCCGAUGCAGAUUCUUGAAAUUUUCAUCCUCUUUAUGGUAAUGUACGCCAAUCGAUCGACGAAAAGCGCUUUAUAUAUUAAUCAGUAAAUAUAUGAAAGUUGUUAGAAGUUAACAAUUAAGGUAAUAUGCAUAAAACAAAAACAGAAAAAGUACGCGGAAGAUAUUUUUCUUUCGAACGGAUGUGCGUGUACAACCUUGUCGAUUCCACGAAGACUUUAUAGUCGUUUUAUCGUUGCAAAAAUUGUGGAGAAGACUGGUUUCUUGUCGCAAAUGCACGCACGUACGAAGUAUAUGUGCGAUCGUGUCCUGAGGAAAACCGUAAAAGAGAACGAAUAAAGAAUAAACUAUAUAAAUGUCUCAUUAUAUAUUUAGUUUUUUAAUUUGCAAAAGUUUCU